rnacentral:piRNA from 1 species
UGCUAAGGAAUCUCAGAGAUACAUUGGAAGC